CUUUUUAUCUCGCUCUAGGUCAGACACUGCAGUGCCUCAAGAUAUCUGGUAGAUAUCAUAAUCUCAGUCAGCAAAGUGUCUCACCCACUUUGCUCCACCCCAUACCGCACUGCUGAUGGUCUCUCUGUGAGCCUGGCAGCAAUCUCUCUACCCAUCUAUUUCCCAAGGCAGGUUGCCACCAUGCCAGAAAUAUACAUCCCAAUUCCGUGGCGGCCUUGUGUCUCCACCACCACACACUCUCUUAAACUUAAAUCGCCACAAGAAAGAACAUACAACACAAUCACCUCUGAUCCCAUCGAUGAGAUAUAACUGCCCACCUAAACAUACAAAGUCUUGUACACAUCCAUCCCUUAAGAACAUUCAUCACAACCUGUAAAGGUAGAGUGGAAUCUUAGCAUCUGCCUCCAUGUUCUCUUGAUGGCUUCCUCUCCAAUCUCCUUCCGUUCCAGUUUCCUCUUCCCUCAAACUUUUCUCCCGUCCAUCCUUCCUUCUUGUCCAAUGACAGGCCUCAUUCUAUCUUGUACCUGCCUCCACCUGUAUGACAUCCUACAAUCUCCAUAAAGCUAGGUGCCACACCCAUCACAAACCUAGGUCAUAUGGUGUGUGUGCACACAUAUAUAUUGCUCCUGGGACCUUGUCAUCAAAACAGCACAAAUCAAUCAAAAGGGAAACUAAAGCAAACGAGAGGUGCCUGAGACCCCUAUUGACACAGAAGUUACUCCAGACAACGAUUCAAGAGGCUGUCACCCACACACAAAGGACACCACCCACUUGUACGGAGCCGUAUUGGAUUUGGGCCUGGUGGCUUUGUGACUGUAUGGCCAUAAAGUCUUGAGAUUGUUGGACAAAAGCCUCUCCCAUGAAUUUACGGCACAGGAAGAAAAUAAACACGGAAUGCUUUCAGCCCGAACAAAUACCAAGUAUCUCCUGACACCCGGUGUCUCCACCGCAUGACCCCUGCUGAGCCCGGCUGAUGCAUGUGGAACUGACACACCUGGGCCACACCUGGGCCACACCUGGGCCACACCUGGGCCACACCUGGGCCACACCUGGGCCACACCUGGGCCACACCUGGGCCACACCUGGGCCACACCUGGGCCACACCUGGGCCACACCUGGGUGGUGGUCAAUUCGCUCCUGCCUUUUGCUUUCUCAGCCUUUGUCCUUGAGAUUUAGGCUGGUCUUCUCGGAUUUCUCCCUAAUUAAUUCAGGUCUCCUAGUAGUCGGUCUUUUGUUACGAAGUCACUCUUGAGCCAGGGUUUCCCACUGUACUUCCCAGAUAUUUUCUACCUGGGGAACUUGGGUAUAUAAGUGUGAAUAAAGCUACAGGAGUCUCUCUCUCUCUUCCUCUCCUGGCUUGACAUGAAUAACCUGCCUGAUUCUCGGUACCGUGUUGGUGCGGGCAUGGGGCACCAAUACCCACUCGCUGGGAUCCUGAAAGGCUUCAGUCU
rnacentral:lncRNA from 1 species